UGCGUUCUCUUAGCUAGCCAACAUGUUCCCUACCUUGUGUGCUCUUGAUACAUUCCUAAUAAAUUAUUUACUCUCUAAAGUAGAUCUAAAACUCUUGAUGUUGAGACGGUUAGCCACUUAUCAAAAAGUGACUUGAAGGUGACUAAAACUCUUCAAUUUUGAAGUUGAGCUUUUCCACUUAUAUGUCAAUUUAAAUCUUGUUUCUUUAACAUUCAUCUAGUUGUAUCUUGCCUGCAGGUUGUGUAAAGAAGAAUGAACUUAAUAGUAAAAGACUCAAAACUGAGCUACAUAAACCGAAUAACCAGUAAAAUAUCAUACAAUGAAUAUAUCAUUAGAUUACAAUGAAUUGAACAACAAAAAGAGCAAAGCAAUCUAAAGUGGUCCAAAUAAAAGAGCAACCAAAGCUAAAUACCUGAACAAUAUGUCGAGUUAGAGCAUCAACUAGAUUGUAGGUUUUUCUCUUAGCUAGUUGCCAUUGUCCAGCUGUAGUUGAUCAAACAAAACCCUUCAAACAAUAAAGGUCAGUGUGUGUGUGUAUACAGACACACACACACACACAAUCAGUUAUCAACACACAGACACACAUCUAGAAAAAAAAAUAAUAAUAAAAAAUGAAGGUAAGAAAGCACAUUUUGCAUACCCAACAAGCCAUAAAUCAUAACCCUCUAGGCUUAGCUUCCAAACUGAUAAGACUAGAAUAAUUUGUGCUUUUUACUUACAAUUACAUGGUUCUUGUAGUAAACCUUUACAACAGGGUUCCUUAGAGAAAUCAUUGUAUCAUGUCAAGCACUGUCCCUUAUUUCUUGCCCAGUUCACAUGCUGCUUCCAUAGUUCUUCACCAAGGUUUAAUCAAAACAAAAGGUCAAACAAUGAGAAGUUAAAAGACAGAAAAAAGCAGAGCCUGAAAAUAUAACACUCAUAACUGAUUCUACAGGUACUCAAUGUUAAAGGGCCAGCCAUCUAAAUAAGAGUCAGAGUGAAAAAGCAAUAUAUAUAUAUAUAUAUAUAUAUAUAUAUACUUAUAUAGGAUGACCAAUGUCUCCAAAACAUAUUUUGAAACUAGACUAAAAUGGGCACACUGAAUUUGAUUCUCAUAUAAAUUUUUCAUACUUGAAUUGUGCCACCCUUCUCCAAGUGUAGGCAGUGCCAAAAACCUAAUUCCACAAGUCACAUUACUAUGUUCUCAUGUAAAUCAAAAACUAGCUAUAUUAGUUCUACUUGGGAUAGAUAGCAUAUAUACCAGUUAUUCUAGUAUCCCAUACUCACUUUCUCCAUAUGUGACCAACCAAAUUUAUAGCGAAGUGACGUGGUAACCAACUCUACUGUCCUCACACCCUGCAAACAAAGCCAAAUGAUCCAUUCUAUUCCAAUUCCAAAUCAGAGAAUUUGGUCAUGGGAGAUGGCUUUACUUUUACUGUCACCCCAUGCCCUCGCAGCUAAAGAAUAUAUAUAAAAUGACUGAUGUCUCCAAAGCAUACUUUGAAACUAAACUAUAAUGGGCACAUAGAAUUUGACUCUCACACAAUUUUUCAUAUCUGAAUUGCAACUCUCAGCUAUUCUGUAACAAAGCAGAAAAACAAAAACAUAAAAACAAACAAAGGAACUCGUCCGUAUUUUCUAUUUGGCCAUUUACCAUUAAAUAUGACAAUCCAAAAACUAAGCUCAUUAGGAUUUUCUGAAAUAAGAAACAAGUACAGAAAACCCCUAAUCAUUUAGUAAAUUUAAGGGUUUAUUGUUUUGAUUGGAGAAAGUUCAAUCGAACAAGAACAUGAAACGAAUUCACUAAAAGUAAACAAUAACAAUUGGAAACCCAACUGGACAAAAGAUCCCCAAUUGUCUCUAAAGCCUCAAUAGUUGAACAACUACAGUUAAUAAUCACCCUAACUCAACCAAAUCUGAUUACCCAACCACAUGAAUGCAUAGAGCCAAAGAAAGAUGAUGAGAGAGGUCAGAGAGGAACCUUCACCAGUUAGAGUUUGAAAAUCCGUAACCGCAUACUUUGAAUCGAAGUUCCCACACCAGAAGACCAUUUGCCAAUUAGGUUUUCCAAACCCGACCUCGGAUCUUCAGCCAUGGCCUCCACGAGCUUUCGCCCGGAAUAGGGGAAAGAGAGCUUUGAGGACUUGGGAUCGAGUGUGGGGUUUGAGAGGAGGGGUCGAAGGGUUGAGGACGAGUGGAGAUCGUAACGGCGGUUGAGGGAGCGGCAGAGAUGGAUUGGGAUUUAGGAGAGAGAUUGUCUGAGGUACUGAAGAAGGCGAAGCUCUAUACAUUUCUGCGGUGGGCGGAUUUGAUGAGUGUUUUAACUUUUUAUUUGGGCGGGCACGAUAAGUGGGAAAGGGGAAAUGAAAAUUUAGACCCCGCCUUCAUUUUUGAAUUUUGAUAGGAGCGAGACUUUAGAUAGCGUUUCCUUUAUUUUUUAUUAUUUUUUUUCAGGUUAGAAUGGCCAAUUAUAGGACUUUGUGAAUAAACGCUAUUAAUGAAGUGCUAUCAAUGUGUAAAAUUCUUGUAGUGCAACUAACUACACACAGAAAACAAAAUUUUCAGAAAUCUCGUGAAAUAAAAUGUGAUCAGAAUAAUGAAAUACGGUUAUGGUAGAAAAAUCAUUUUAAUUUAACAAUGUUAAGGCCCGAUCAAAACGGUCAACCUUGUUUACCCUAAAUGUUCCUUAUGGGGAGCCCUAUCAUCGAAAGGUAAACGUCCCCUAACUUUUACAUGGGUGGUUACAUCUCAUCUAUGUGAAAGUUUAAUGUGUGGAAGGAUUGACCAAACUAGGUCACGAAGGGGUAGUUAAGAAUGUUUCCGUGUGAUAAGUGACGAUGAAUUAGGGUUGACCGCUUAGAUGGAGCCCCGAACGUUGCCGAAUACAUUUGAAUUUUCUAUCCUAGUCGUAUUUUAAUAUACCUUUCACAUCUGACGGUCAAAAUUUCAUUUUUUGAAAUUUAGGCAUUGGAAUCACAAUGUGCCUACUAAUGUGGUAUAACUUGUUUAGUGGGUUUUAUGUAAGUGUAAAUCUUUGUGAACCAACUAUACAGAGGAAACAAAAUUUUCAAAAACCUUGUGAAAUAGGAUGUGAUCGUUAUGGUGAAAUACGGCUAUGGUUGAAAAAACACAUAAUUCCGGUAACGUUUGAUCCCCGAUAGAAACGGUCAACCCUAUUUACACUUACUCUUUCUUAUGAGGAGCCCUAUCGUUGGGAGGUGAGCGUUCCUAAAAUUUUUCAUGGGUGGUUACAUCUCAUCUAUGUGAGAGUUUUAUGUGUGGAAUAAUCAACUAAACUAGGUCACAAAGAGGUAGGUAAGAGCGUUUCCAUGUGAUAAGUGAUGAUAUAUUAGGGUUGACCACUUCGAUCAAGCCCCGAACGUUGCCAAAUCGAGUUGAAUUUUAUAUCAUAGACAUGUUUUACUAUAAUGAUCAUAUCUAACGGUGGAAUUUUCAUUUUGUAAUUUUUAGUCAUCGAAAUUACAACGUGUCUACUAAUGUAGUAUAACUUAUUUAAUAGAUUAUAUGCAAGUGUACAACUUUGUAAACCAACUACACAAAGGAAGCAAAAUUUUCAAAAUUCUCAUGAAAUAAGAUGUGAUCAAAAUAGUGAAAUACGGCUAUGGCUAAAAAAUCACAUAUUUCGGGUAACGUUUUGGUGCCGAUAAAAGCGAUCAACCUUUUUUACACUUAAUCUUCCCUAUGGGGAGCCCUAUUUUCGGGAGGUAAACGUCUCCAAAUUUUUAUAUGUGUGGUUAUGUCUCAUCUAUGUGAGAGUUUAAUGUGUGGAAGAAUCGACCAAACUAGGUCACAAAGAGGUAGGUAAGAGCGUUUUCGUGUGAUAAGUGACGAUAUAUUAGGGUUGACCGCUUCGAUCGAGCCCCGAACGUUGCCGAAUCGAGUUGAAUUUUAUAUCAUAGACAUGUUUUACUAUAAUGAUCAUAUCGGACGGUGGAAUUUUCAUUUUGUGAAAUUUAGUCAUCGGAAUCACAACGUGUGUAUUAAUAUAGUAUAACUUAUUUAAUAGGUUAUAUGCAAGUAUACAACUUUGUAAACCAACUACACAAAGGAAGCAAAAUUUUCAAAAUUCUCGUGAAAUAAGAUGUGAUCAAAAUAGUGAAAUACAGCUAUGGUUGAAAAAUCACAUAUUUCGGGUAACGUUUUGGUGCCGAUAAAAACGGUCAACCUUUUUUACGAUUAAUCUUCCUUAUAGGGAACCCUAUCAACUAGAGUUAAACGUCUCCAAAUUUUUAUAUGUGUGGUUACGUCUCAUCUAUGUGAGAGUUUAACAUGUGGAAGAAUCGACCAAAUUAGAUCAUGGGGAGGUAGGUAAGAGCGUUUACGUGUGAUAAGUGACGAUAGAUUAUGGUUGACCGCUUCGAUCAAGCCCCGAAUGUUGCCGAAUCAAGUUUAAUUUUAUACCAUAGACAUGGUUUACUAUAAUGAUCAUAUCAGACGGUGGAAUUUUCAUUUUGAGAAUUUUAGUCAUCGGAAUCACAAUGUAUCAACUAAUGUGGUAUAACUGGUUUAACAGGUUAUAUACAAGUGUACAACUUUAUAAACCAACUACACAAAGGAAGCAAAAUUUUCAAAAAUCUCAUGAAAUAAGAUGUGAUCGGAAUAAUGAAAUACGGCUUUAGUUGAAAAAUCACGUAUUUCGAAUAACUUUUGGGUGCCGAUAAAAAGGGUCAACUUUUUUACGCUUAAUCUUCCCUAUGAGGAAUCCUAUCAACGUGAGUUAAA
rnacentral:lncRNA from 1 species